UAAAUAAAUCACACUUUUUAGAAAAUCAAGAGAAUAGUUUUAGCAGAUUCGGAAAACAUAGCAACACCGUAUAAGAAACCAGUUCCAGCAUGCGAGCGUUGUACAUAUUUAGUGGAGGGACUGAAAACUGUGCAAGAAACCGUGGACAAUUUAAAAAAAAAAUGUAAUUCAACCGUAUCUACUCAAAAUGAUGCUGUGAUGUCUGCACUUGCUCAUCAAAAGAUUCUAUUAGAAAAGUUAGUACGGCAAGACAACGUACUUAUUUCGGUAAAGCAAUAUUUUCCAAUAAACAACACUGAGGGCCAAUUGAAUCAAAAAUUGUUCCCGAAAACACUAAUUUGUUUGACAUUAUUUAACC